rnacentral:rRNA from 1 species
UACGUAGGUGGCAAGCGUUGUCCGGAUUUAUUGGGUUUAAAGGGUGCGUAGGCGGUGUCCUAAGUCAGUUGUGAAAUACGGCAGCUUAACUGUCGAGGUGCAAUUGAUACUGGGAUACUUGAGUACUGAUGAGGUAUGCGGAAUGGACGGUGUAGCGGUGAAAUGCUUAGAUAUCGUCCAGAACACCGGUAGCGAAGGCAGCAUACUAAGGAGUAACUGACGCUGAGGCACGAAAGUGUGGGGAUCAAACAGG